rfam:Musa acuminata subsp. malaccensis Doubled-haploid Pahang (DH-Pahang) genomic chromosome, chr1
GUGUUUGCAGCUGUGGCAUCAUCAAGAUUCACACCGACCGGAUGCCCCGCCGUCCUCGUCGUCGAUGAGAAUCUUGAUGAUGCUGCAUCGGCAAAUAA